rnacentral:rRNA from 1 species
ACGAACGCUGGCGGCAUGCCUAACACAUGCAAGUCGAACGAGACCUUCGGGUCUAGUGGCGCCCGGGUGCGUAACGCGUGGGAACCUGCCCUUAGGUUCGGAAUAACUCCCCGAAAGGGGUGCUAAUACCGGAUAAUGUCUUCGGACCAAAGAUUUAUCGCCUUUGGAUGGGCCCGCGUUGGAUUAGCUCGUUGGUAGGGUAAAAGCCUACCAAGGCGACGAUCCAUAGCUGGUCUGAGAGGAUGAUCAGCCACACUGGGACUGAGACACGGCCCAGACUCCUACGGGAGGCAGCAGUGGGGAAUAUUGGACAAUGGGCGAAAGCCUGAUCCAGCAAUGCCGCGUGAGUGAUGAAGGCCUUAGGGUUGUAAAGCUCUUUUACCCGGGAUGAUAAUGACAGUACCGGGAGAAUAAGCUCCGGCUAACUCCGUG